GACGAACGCUGGCGGCGUGCCUAAUACAUGCAAGUAGAACGAGUUGCGAACGGGUGAGUAACGCGUGGUAACCUGCCUCAUAGCGGGGGAUGACUAUUGGAAACGCUAGCUAAUACCGCAUACUGUUAGAUGGACCUGCGUUUUAUUAGCUAGUUGGUGAGGGAAAGGCUCACCAAGGCGACGAUCCCUAGCUGGUCUGAGAGGAUGACGUGCCAAACGUGAACUGAGAUACUGUCCAGACUCCUACGGUAGGCCGCAGUGGGGAAUAUUGUACAAUGGGCGCAAGCCUGAUGCAGCCGUGACGCGUGUAUGAAGAAGGCCUUCGGUUUGUAAAGUACUUUCAGCGAGGAGGCGUUACUCGCAGAAGAAGCACCGGCUAACGCCGUGCCAGCAGCCGCGGUAAUAC
rnacentral:rRNA from 1 species